CCUACGGGUGGCAGCAGUCGAGAAUUUUUCUCAAUGGGCGCAAGCCUGAAGGAGCGACGCCGCGUGGAGGAUGAAGGUCUUCGGAUUGUAAACUCCUGUCAUUGGUGAACAAAACCAAAAUGCCUCACGGCGCGUUGGUGUGAUAGUAGCCAAAGAGGAAGAGACGGCUAACUCUGUGCCAGCAGCCGCGGUAAUACAGAGGUCUCAAGCGUUGUUCGGAUUUAUUGGGCGUAAAGGGUGCGUAGGCUGCGGGGUUAGUUGGAUGUGAAACGCCAUGGCUCAACCAUGGCACGGCAUUCAAUACUGCCCUGCUAGAGCGCUAGUGAGGAGGCUGGAAUUUACGGUGUAGCAGUGAAAUGCGUAGAUAUCGUAAGGAACAUCAGUGGCGAAGGCGAGUCUCUAGAUAGCAUGCUGACGCUGAGGCACGAAAGCCAGGGGAGCAAACGGGAUUAGAUACCCCGGUAGUCCUGGCAGUAAACGGUGCGCGUUUGGUGUGAGAGGAAUCGACCCCUUUCGCGCCGGAGCUAACGCAUUAAACGCGCCGCCUGGGGAAUACGGUCGCAAGACUAAAACUCAAAGAAAUUGACGGGGGCCCGCACAAGCGGUGGAGUAUGUGGCUUAAUUCGAUGCAACGCGAAAAACCUUACCUGGGUUUGACAUGCAUUGCUAAAGAAGUGAAAACUUCCGAGGGUAGAAAUACCCGCCUUGCACAGGUGCUGCAUGGCUGUCGUCAGCUCGUGUCGCGAGAUGUUGGGUUAAGUCCCGCAACGAGCGCAACCCUCGUGUGCUGUUGCUAGCCAACGGUUAGCUCUCUGCACAAACUGCCCCGUGAAACGGGGAGGAAGGUGAGGAUGACGUCAAGUCAGCAUGGCCCUUACACCCAGGGCUGCACACGUACUACAAUGCCCAGCACAAAGCGAGCCCGUGCUGCAAGGCGCAGGAAAUCAGAAAAGCUGGGCGCAGUUCGGAUUGCAGGCUGCAACUCGCCUGCAUGAAGCUGGAAUCGCUAGUAAUGGCACAUCAGCUACGGUGCCGUGAAUACGUUCCCGGGCCUUGUACACACCGCCCGU
rnacentral:rRNA from 1 species